GUAACAAGGGUUCCGUAGGUGAACCUGCGGAAGGAUCAUUGUCGAAACCUGCCCAGCGGCACGACCCGCGAACAAGUUUCUCAGCACACGCUGGGGCGGCGGGGAGCACCCGCCCCUCGCCUCCCGGCGAGCAGUGGGGAGCGGCCGCACGGUCCCUCUCCUCGGCUCACGAACAAAACCCCGGCGCCGGACGCGCCAAGGACCAUGCAAACUAAGGGCACGCCCCAUCGCCCCGGGAACGGGGCGCGGGGCGCGGCUUCUUUCGCUACGAGCGAAAA
rnacentral:rRNA from 1 species